GCCAACGUGACGCAAUGAUAGCGUAGUUGUUUUGUAAGCAACAUGUUGCAGGUUUGAAUCCUGUCGUUGGCUCCA
rnacentral:tRNA from 1 species